UCUGCUGUGAGGGGACUUCGCAGAGCUGCCCGCAGCAGCCGGGACCCGGGUCUCCGGCCGCCCCGGCCCCGCCCCUGCCUUUUCCCAGAGGGGCCCUCUUGCCGACCCGGAAGCCGCUUCGCAGAUGAAUCUGUUCCCCAUACCCAGACCCCGGCCCCGCCCCGGUUGCCUAGGCGACGAAAGGCCGCAACUCCACGGCGAGUUAAUGACGAUGUCUGUGGGGACUACUCCCGGGGGAACGACCCCCGCGGCGACGACCCCGGCGGGAACCACACCGGAGUUAGAGAGAGAUGCUGAAUUCCAGGAGCAUGAAAAGAUUCUGUCUCCAGAUUUUCUUUCAGCUGCUCAAAUCACUGAAAUGCUAACAGAAGACAUAAAUGGAGUUCAACAAAAACUGAAAAAGUUUUUGAAUUUCAAAAACCUUCAAACCUGUUUAAAGGAAGCCAUUCUACUAGAUUAUUAUGUAUCUGGAUUUUUGUGGGCUAGAGGAAUGGACUUUUCUGUUACUCAAUAUUCAAAAUUUAUGACUUUACUAGAUAUGUUACUUCAUAAUCUUAGAACACUGCAUAUGUCCUUAGAAGACAGCAUAAAAUGGCUUGGAGAAGUUAUGGCUGAAAUAGGACCACCCCAUUCACAGAAAAAUGAAGAAUGGAGUUUUUUUAAUAUAAAACAAGCCAAUGCUAUCAUCGAUUACUUAAAAAUCAGCUUAUUUCAACACUACAAGCUAUAUGAGUUUCUAUUCUACUCUACCAGGGAAGAAAUUGUGAUAGGAACUGAGCAAAUGAUAGAGGUUGUCAAGCCUGCAGGUGGUCUCCUCCCAGAUCCUCUAGAAGAAGGAAUCUCAUUUGACAUUUAUUCAACAUUCAUAGAACCACCCCCAACAUUGGAUGCAGAAGUGAAGGGGUUGGAUCAAGAACAAGUCCCUGAGGAAUUCCAGUCAGAAGCCAACAUUUCCGAUGCGGAUCCUUUAGUGGGUUUCACCAUUGAAGAUAUAAAAUCAGUGCUGGGUCAAGUCACAGAUGAUAUUUUAAUCGGCAUUCAGGUAAAAACUAAUACCCAAGGUAGCCAAGUGACUUGUCCAAGAUUAUGUAACUAAAUUAAUCCCUUGGUCUCCAGCUCCUAGACCAGUGCUCUUUCCAGAUCUACCAAAAUCACGCCCAAGGGGUUCAGUGACUCCUAAACAAUGACAGAGUUCCUUUGUAACCCUGAGGACCAAGUUCAUUCUUCCUUGCCUCCUCCACCCAAACACCAGGAAACAAAAAAGGAAUACAAUGGGAAACCAGAGGCCAGAGUUUGAUAAAACUUGUAGGGCUUGAUAAAACUUGAACCAAAGAAGAAGGAUACUUUCAUGAGGAUCCAGAAUUGUUGACACCAAUGCCAUCUUCUCAGAAAUACUGAUUCUUACCAGUGAAGGUGAAACAAAAUCUCAUCAGACCGAGAUAAACGAAAAGCUGCAAAUACAGGAAGAGGCCUUCAAUGCACGAAUAGAAAAACUGAAAAAGGCCUGAGGACUUAGUGCAAGGAGAGUGAUGCUAAACUUCAGAGAAACAAAUAAAACCAGCCAGAAUAAUAGACUCUCCAGAGCAGCAGAUAUCCUUCCUUUCGUUGGGAGAGGGAAACCAAGCCCCACUUUUUAUUAUCCUAAGUAAUUAGAAAAGUAUUGGCCCCCAUUUUGCUAUCUCCUGUCCCAUAACAGCCUCUGAAUUUAUUGCACUAAGUGUAAUAAGAACAUUCUGUAUACAAGAGUUUGGAGAAUUAUAUAUAAAAAUACAAUUACUUUUACGAUACUCCUUUGACAUUUUGACUAAUAAAUGCUAUUCAUCUUCAGGGAGAAUGAAGCCCACUUUUUUUAAAUAAGGAAAAAUAAUAAUAAUUUUAUCCAUAUUGACCCAAUGAACUGCCACAUUACUGGAGCCCUGUGAACAGAUAACCACAUGGCCAAGGAUAAAACUUGCUAAACAAUAGCAAUUAAAAUGCAUAUACUAUGGGUUUUUUUUCCCUUAAAUCACUUGGUUUUCUUAUUUAAACGUUUCAGUGUGAAACCAAUUUUCUGAAAUUAUAUAAUGCAGUUUGAAACACUUUAAUUUAUUCUGUACCGUAUUUGUUAUUUCUAAUCUUGUUACUCUCCCAGGAGAAUACAUGACCUAUAUAAAAAGAAGCAAUGUAUAAAUGGUUAUUAAAGACCAACCUAUAUAUAGAUUGUAAAAAUCUUAAAUACAAAUCAAACUCACAGAGCUCUUAAAAUUAACCAUUAUAUUGCAGUAGAAUGAUUGAAAACAUCUCAAGCCUUUAAAUACCUUUAUGAAAAUAUAAUUUUAGAAGAAAAAUAUCCAUUUGCCAAUUGAUUGUUUCAGGUUGGAUAAAUUAAAUUAAUUAUGAGCUAUAUCCUUUCCAAAUUUCUUAGACUUCAGAGUAUCCUAGAAUGGAGAACAUUACUAGGAAGGGGAGAGUUCCUUUAAGAAAUUCCCAGUUUAUACCGGAACCAGAGGUACUUGAUUGAAUAUGUUCUAUCUACAUCCUAACUUUGGGCCAGACCUUACCUUCUCUAUCAGUAUCAGAGGGAUUGCCCAAAAUGUAUUCAUUUGAGGUAGAGACAGAUCUGACAGCAUUUGAUAGUUUUCUAACUGUGCUGAUCAGUAAAGCCAGGAGUGGUCCUUAAGAUAAAGCCAUGUUUAUUGUUCAUCGGUUCCUAGUCUGGAAGGCCUGGAGAUACGCUGUGCUUGUUCCUUGAGCUGUCCUUCCCAGCUGAAAACAUUGAUGGCCACAGGAGAUCAGUAGGAGGGCUUGUGAGGCUUGAUUUUGCCAAGCAGUCUUUUCUCCAGGGAAAACAGAGGUGAAACUAGAGAAACCACAAAUGGAAUAAAGGAGCUCCUGGAAAUCACCAAGCACAGCUUCAAAUGCAAUCAUUGGCACAGAGUGGACCCGCAUUUCUAAUAAAGUGCUUAUUUUGAACAAAAGUACCAGCAGUCUAAAAGUGAAUAAAAAAGUAGGAGUAAGAUCCCUUAAAACUACAUAGAUACUAAUAAGUACACCUAAGGCAUGCCUUUGGAAAAGACUGGCUUCGCCACUGGCUAGUCUGUGACUUUGAACAAACUACACAACCUCUAUUUCCUCAUCUAUUCAAUGAGGAUGAUACUUAUUUUUGAGGUAGUUAUAAGAAUCCAAUAAAUUCAUAUUAAAGGACA